AUUUUUUGAUUUGGGGAAGAACGUGACCCUUAAUUAUUGGAAGAAAAUUUGGAGAUUUUGGAGUGUAGAUUACACAUUGUAAAAUUAGGGUUCCAAUUUUAUAUAUUUGGGGAAGAAAUAGUCGUUGGAGAAGGAAGAGAGCCGUUGGGGAAGAAGAGCAAUUUCCUGAAAUUCAAUCAACUUAGUCCUUGAAAAUUUAGGUCAUUAUCGGCCAAAUUAGUCCCUGCCUACGUGGCGUCUGACAUGUGAGAGGUUAACGGCCACGUCAACCCCGUUAACGCUCCGUUUGAACUGAAGGACUAACUUGA
rnacentral:lncRNA from 1 species